rnacentral:rRNA from 1 species
CACGUAGGGCGCGAGCGUUGUCCGGAAUUAUUGGGCGUAAAGAGCUCGUAGGCGGCCUGUUGCGUCCGCUGUGAAAAGCCCCGGGGCUUAACCCCCGGGUCGGCAGUGGAUACGGGGCAGGCUAGAGGUAGGUAGGGGAGAAUGGAAUUCCCGGUGUAGCGGUGAAAUGCGCAGAUAUCGGGAGGAACACCGGUGGCGAAGGCGGUUCUCUGGGCCUGACCUGACGCUGAGGAGCGAAAGCGUGGGAGCGAACAGG